rnacentral:rRNA from 1 species
CCUACGGGUGGCAGCAGUGAGGAAUAUUGGUCAAUGGGCGCGAGCCUGAACCAGCCACGUAGCGUGAAGGAUGACUGCCCUACGGGUUGUAAACUUCUUUUAUAAAGGAAUAAAGUGAGGCACGUGUGCCUUUUUGUAUGUACUUUAUGAAUAAGGAUCGGCUAACUCCGUGCCAGCAGCCGCGGUAAUACGGAGGAUCCGAGCGUUAUCCGGAUUUAUUGGGUUUAAAGGGAGCGUAGAUGGGUUGUUAAGUCAGUUGUGAAAUUUUGCGGAUCAACCGUAAAAUUGCAUUUGAUACUGGCAGUCUUGAGUACAGUUGAGGUAGGCGGAAUGCGGGGUGUAGCGGUGAAAUGCUUAGAUAGAACGAAGAACUCCGAUUGCGAAGGCAGCUUACUAAACUGCAACUGACAUUGAUGCUCGAAAGUGUGGGUAUCAAACAGGAUUAGAUACCCGGGUAGUC